rnacentral:lncRNA from 1 species
GAAAAGAUAGGAGAUGUAAGGGCAAAUUUUUUAUUCACCACCUAAAUUUAUCUAGACAUAAACUAAAGGCAUAAUACAAAAAAUAGCUCCCAGCAUUUGAUUGUUUGGUCACUUUGGUCCUUUCUUUUCUUUUUUUGUUAAAUUGAUAUAUUUUCAAAGUUUUGAGUCAUUCUUAUAAAAAAACCUAAUAAUUCUUGUAUUUUUC